UACGUAGGGUGCAGGCGUUAAUCGGAAUUACUGGGCGUAAAGCGUGCGCAGGCGGUCUUUUAAGUCAGAUGUGAAAUCCCCCGGGCUUAACCUGGGAACUGCGUUUGAAACUGAAAGGCUAGAGUGUGGGCAGAGGGGGGUGGAAUUCCACGUGUAAGCAGUGAAAUGCGUAGAGAUGUGGAGGAACACCGAUGGCGAAGGCAGCCCCCUGGGCUAACACUGACGCUCAUGCACGAAAGCGUGGGGAGCAAACAGG
rnacentral:rRNA from 1 species